GAUGAACGCUGGCGGCGUGCCUAAUACAUGCAAGUCGAGCGAACGGACGAGAAGCUUGCUUCUCUGAUGUUAGCGGCGGACGGGUGAGUAACACGUGGAUAACCUACCUAUAAGACUGGGAUAACUUCGGGAAACCGUAGCUAAUACCGGAUAAUAUUUUGAACCGCAUGGUUCAAAAGUGAAAGACGGUCUUGCUGUCACUUAUAGAUGGAUCCGCGCUGCAUUAGCUAGUUGGUAAGGUAACGGCUUACCAAGGCAACGAUGCAUAGCCGACCUGAGAGGGUGAUCGGCCACACUGGAACUGGGACACGGUCCAGACUCCUACGGGAGGCAGCAGUAGGGAAUCUUCCGCAAUGGGCGAAAGCCUGACGGAGCAACGCCGCGUGAGUGAUGAAGGUCUUCGGAUCGUAAAACUCUGUUAUUAGGGAAGAACAUAUGUGUAAGUAACUGUGCACAUCGUGACGGUACCUAAUCAGAAAGCCACGGCUAACUACGUG
rnacentral:rRNA from 1 species